CAGCAGCCGCGGGAAUACCGAGGGUGCGAGCGUUAAUCGGAUUUACUGGGCGUAAAGCGUGCGUAGGCGGCUUUUUAAGUCGGAUGUGAAAUCCCUGAGCUUAACUUAGGAAUUGCAUUCGAUACUGGGAAGCUAGAGUAUGGGAGAGGAUGGUAGAAUUCCAGGUGUAGCGGUGAAAUGCGUAGAGAUCUGGAGGAAUACCGAUGGCGAAGGCAGCCAUCUGGCCUAGUACUGACGCUGAGGUACGAAAGCAUGGGGAGCAAACAGGAUUAGAUACCCCCGUAGUCCCUGUCUCUUAUAA
rnacentral:rRNA from 1 species